UAGACAGAGGUCUGUUGGUUUAGG
rnacentral:tRNA from 1 species